AUAAUAAUAAGAAUCAUACCAUUUUUAGUCAUAUAACUACUUAAAUCCAGCUUGCUCUAAAACAAAUAAAAAUGUGCAAAUGCUGCAAGAUAAUGAUAGACAACC